rnacentral:rRNA from 1 species
AUGGGCUCUGCUCACCUUGCUGCCAUACUGCUCUGUGUCUGCAUUAUUGCCGGUGGUGCCAUAGCAGACAGCCAGAAUGGCACCAACGGCGUCCCGAGGCCGGCUGAGGUGCGCAUCGGUGCGCUCUUCACAUUUGAUUCGGUCAUCGGGAGGGCAGUGAAGCCGGCUAUCGAGCUCGCUGUUGCGGAUGUCAAUGCUGAUCCAACCGUACUCCCCGGGACAAAACUGAGUCUUCUUAUGCAGGACACCAAUUGCAGUGGCUUUGUUGGAACUAUUGAAGCAUUGCAGCUUCUGGCCAAGGAUGUCAUCGCUGUAUUAGGUCCACAAUCAUCCGCAAUUGCUCAUAUCAUUUCUCAUGCCGUUAACAAACUCCAAGUCCCACUUAUCUCUUUCGCAGCCUCCGAUCCUACCCUUUCUUCCCUUGAAUACCCUUACUUUGUGAGGGCUACACAAAGUGAUUACUACCAAAUGUCUGCUGUAGCUAGUAUCAUCAGUCAAUAUCAAUGGAGAGAGGUCAUCGCCAUCUAUGUUGAUGAUGACUAUGGUAGAGGCGGCAUCACAGCACUAGGUGAUGCCCUUGCAAAAAAGAUGUCCAAGAUAGCCUACAAAGCAAAAUUGCCACCUGGUGCUGGAAGGACUGCAAUCCAGGAUAUGCUGAUGCAAGUGAAUGAAAUGGAGUCCCGCGUCUAUGUUGUCCAUGUGAACCCUGACUCUGGGAUGACAGUUUUCUCUGCCGCAAAAUCUUUAGGGAUGAUGAGUAGCGGCUAUGUAUGGAUAGCAACAGACUGGCUUUCUUCAGUGAUAGAUUCAUCUGGGCAUGUUGAUUCUGAUGCGACAGAAAACACUCAGGGGGUUAUUACGCUUCGGCAACAUGUUGCUGACUCUGGCAUUCAGCAGUCCUUGCUGCCCAAACUGAACAAUCUGACUAGGAAAGAAAACCGUUCGAGCUUCAGUUCUUACACUGCACAUGCUUAUGACUCCGUAUGGUUAGUUGCUCAUGCAGUUGAGCAGUUCCUGAGUGCAGGGAAUGCAAUAUCUUUUUCUGUAAACCAAAAUUUGCAAGCUAUAAAAGGAAGUAGCCUUCAGUUAGAUUCUCUCAGAGUUCUCAACAAUGGAGAUAAAUUACUGGAGAAAGUGUUGCAGGCAAAUUUCACAGGGGUUUCAGGCCAAGUACAAUUUACUUUGGACAGGAAUUUGAUCCAUCCAGCUUAUGACAUCCUGAAUAUCGGUGGUACAGGUUUCAGAACCAUUGGGUAUUGGUCAAAUUUUUCUGGCCUCUCAGUUGCUGCUCCAGAAAACUUGCACUCAGUACCACUGAACUCUACAACCAAUGAUAUACAGCUCCAUGAUGUUAUCUGGCCUGGUCAGACUGCUGAGAAACCCCGUGGUUGGGUGUUUCCGUACCAUGGGAAGCUUCUAAGGAUUGGAGUGCCUCUGCGUACAAGCUACAAUGAGUUUGUGAUGCAAGAUGAUGGGCCUGAUGGGGUGAAGGGGUUUUCAGUUGAUGUUUUCAAAUCUGCAAUAAGCUUGUUGCCUUACCCCGUGGGAUGCACUUUUGUUUUAUUUGGAGAUGGACUGAAAAAUCCGAGCUACAGUGACCUUGUACAGAAGGUGUCCGAAAAUUACUUUGAUGCUGCCAUAGGGGACAUCUCUAUUGUGACAAAUAGAACAAGACUUGUUGAUUUUACCCAGCCAUAUACAGAAUCAGGUUUGCUCUUCCUCUUUGUGGGUACAGUUGUUUGGAUCCUGGAACACCGCACUAAUACUGAGUUCCGCGGAACCCCAAGGCAACAAAUUAUGACAGUAUGCUGGUUUAGCUUUUCAACCAUGUUUUUCGCACACAGAGAGAACACUUCUAGCGCACUUGGCAGAUUUGUGCUCCUUGUGUGGCUCUUUGUUGUGCUCAUUAUUAACUCAAGCUACACAGCAAGCUUGACAUCACUUCUCACAGUCCAAGAGCUAUCAUCAGGGGUAAAAGGUCUUGAUAGCUUGAUCUCUAGUUCAAGUGCAAUUGGUUAUCAAGUUGGAUCGUUUGCCAGAAAUUAUCUUGUGGAGGAGCUCAAUAUCGCCGAUUCCCGUCUGGUGCCACUAAACAGCCCAUCUGAUUAUGCAAGAGCACUAGAGCUAGGGUCAGGAAAUGGUGGUGUUGCAGCAAUAAUCGAUGAGCUACCAUACGUUGAGAUCUUCCUGUCAAAAUACUGUAAAUUCAAGACGGUUGGUCAGGUUUUCACAAAAAGCGGAUGGGGAUUUGCCUUUCCAAGAGAUUCCCCUCUUGCGGACGACUUGUCGACAGCAAUCCUGACACUAUCAGAGAACGGCGACCUCCAAAGGAUCCAUGAUGAAUGGUUAAGUGGGAUGAAAGGAUGUGAGUCAGAUGAUAGUGGGAUGAGCUCAAACUCCUUGAGCCUAUCAAGCUUCUGGGGCCUCUUUGUCGUGUGUGGCCUUGCAUGUGUCAUUGCUCUCCUGAUUUUCUUCUGGCGAAUAUUGUUUCAGUACAGCAAGUAUAAUAACCAGGUUGAGCUUGAAGCGGCAAUCGUGAACCGGCCAGCAAGGCUAACCAGCAUCAAAUCGCUAAUCUCUUUUGUUGACAAGAGGGAGGAGGAGGUGAAGAAUGCUCUCAAGAAAAAGCCUAAUGGCUCUCAGCAGGCAAGAAUCGGCAUUACAGAAGAACCAUCUACACUGCCGCUGUAA